UCUGAAGUGAUUUUAUCUGACAAAGAGUGGCGAACGGGUGAGUAACACGUGGGUAACCUACCUCUUAGCAGGGGAUAACAUUUGGAAACAAGUGCUAAUACCGUAUAAUACCAACAACCGCAUGGUUGUUGGUUGAAAGAUGGUUCUGCUAUCACUAAGAGAUGGACCCGCGGUGCAUUAGCUAGUUGGUAAGGUAACGGCUUACCAAGGCGAUGAUGCAUAGCCGACCUGAGAGGGUAAUCGGCCACACUGGGACUGAGACACGGCCCAGACUCC
rnacentral:rRNA from 1 species